AUCUAAGUACCCCGAGGAAAAGAAAUCAACCGAGAUUCCCCCAGUAGCGGCGAGCGAACGGGGAGGAGCCCAGAGCCUGAAUCAGUGUGUGUGUUAGUGGAAGCGUCUGGAAAGGCGCGCGAUACAGGGUGACAGCCCCGUACACAAAAAUGCACAUACUGUGAGCUCGAUGAGUAGGGCGGGACACGUGGUAUCCUGUCUGAAUAUGGGGGGACCAUCCUCCAAGGCUAAAUACUCCUGACUGACCGAUAGUGAACCAGUACCGUGAGGGAAAGGCGAAAAGAACCCCGGCGAGGGGAGUGAAAAAGAACCUGAAACCGUGUACGUACAAGCAGUGGGAGCCUCUUAAUGGGGUGACUGCGUACCUUUUGUAUAAUGGGUCAGCGACUUAUAUUCUGUAGCAAGGUUAACCGAAUAGGGGAGCCGAAGGGAAACCGAGUCUUAACUGGGCGUUAAGUUGCAGGGUAUAGACCCGAAACCCGGUGAUCUAGCCAUGGGCAGGUUGAAGGUUGGGUAACACUAACUGGAGGACCGAACCGACUAAUGUUGAAAAAUUAGCGGAUGACUUGUGGCUGGGGGUGAAAGGCCAAUCAAACCGGGAGAUAGCUGGUUCUCCCCGAAAGCUAUUUAGGUAGCGCCUCGUGAAUUCAUCUCCGGGGGUAGAGCACUGUUUCGGCAAGGGGGUCAUCCCGACUUACCAACCCGAUGCAAACUGCGAAUACCGGAGAAUGUUAUCACGGGAGACACACGGCGGGUGCUAACGUCCGUCGUGAAGAGGGAAACAACCCAGACCGCCAGCUAAGGUCCCAAAGUCAUGGUUAAGUGGGAAACGAUGUGGGAAGGCCCAGACAGCCAGGAUGUUGGCUUAGAAGCAGCCAUCAUUUAAAGAAAGCGUAAUAGCUCACUGGUCGAGUCGGCCUGCGCGGAAGAUGUAACGGGGCUAAACCAUGCACCGAAGCUGCGGCAGCGACACUAUGUGUUGUUGGGUAGGGGAGCG
rnacentral:rRNA from 1 species